rnacentral:rRNA from 1 species
UACCAGCACCCCGAGUGGUCGGGACGAUUAUUGGGCCUAAAGCAUCCGUAGCCGGUUUUACAAGUCCUCCGUUAAAUCCAGCUGCUUAACAGAUGGGCUGCGGAGGAUACUAUAAGACUAGGAGGCAGGAGAGGCAAGCGGUACUCAGUGGGUAGGGGUAAAAUCCGUUGAUCCAUUGAAGGCCACCAGUGGCGAAGGCGGCUUGCCAGAAUGCGCUCGACGGUGAAGGAUGAAAGCUGGGGGAGCAAACCGG